GACGAAGGAUGCAAGCGUUAUCCGGAUUCAUUGGGUUUAAAGGGUGCGUAGGCGGACUGAUAAGUCAGUGGUGAAAUCUCUCAGCUUAACUGAGAAAGUGCCAUUGAUACUGUUAGUCUAGAGUAUAGAUGACGUUGGCGGAAUAUGACAUGUAGUGGUGAAAUACUUAGAUAUGUCAUAGAACACCGAUUGCGAAGGCAGCUAACGAAACUAUAACUGACGCUGAGGCACGAAAGUGCGGGGAUCAAACAGG
rnacentral:rRNA from 1 species